UUACUAGUGAGAUAUGUUGUUUGCACAAAUUGUUUGCAGCAGAGCACGGUAAUUUAUUUGAGUAAAAUAAACAUUAUUUUUUACAUCAACUCAUAAGUUAUGUGAAACUUCCCCAGGAGCAUUGUUAAAAUACUUUGGAGGCACAGAAUCAGCCCAGAGCCAGUCCACAUCCUCAGGCUCAACUGUGAGUGAUGAAUCAGGUCCAUCUCCAUCCUCUACAGUGCUCUCUCACACACCUCCACCCUCUGUGCCCACUGUCCCCUCCAUGUCUGAAACCACAGCUGAUUUAUCUACAACUUCCACCACAACGUCCCCUUCACACCAUGGACCAUCAUCAGCUCCGCCAGUUGACCCAGCUGAGUGGCCUUCUUUCCUCUCAGAUUCAGACAGGACUGAGCAGGUGAUCAGAGGACCACUGUCUAUUAAGGAG